AGGGAGACAGGUGGUGCAUGGUUGUCGUCAGCUCGUGUCGUGAGAUGUUGGGUUAAGUCCCGCAACGAGCGCAACCCCGUACGUUUAGUUGCUAACAGGUGAAGCUGAGCACUCUAGACGAACUGCCGUUGACAAACGGAGGAGUGGGAUGACGUCAAGUCAUCAUGGCCUUAUGUCCAGGGCUACACACGUGCUACAAUGGGUGAGACAGAGUGACGCGAAGCCGCGAGGUGGAGCAAAUCGCAGAAAAUCAUCCGUAGUUCGGAUUGGAGUCUGAAACCCGACUCCAUGAAGGUGGAAUCGCUAGUAAUCGCGCAUCAGCAUGGCGCGGUGAAUACGUUCCCGGGCCUU
rnacentral:rRNA from 1 species